rnacentral:rRNA from 1 species
AUGAACGCUGGCGGCGUGCCUAAUCCAUGCAAGUCGCGCGAACAGACGAGGAGCUUGCUCCUCUGACGUUAGCGGCGGACGGGUGAGUAACACGUGGAUAACCUACCUAUAAGACUGGGAUAACUUCGGGAAGCCGGAGCUAAUACCGGAUAAUAUAUUGAACCGCAUGGUUCAAUAGUGAAAGACGGUUUUGCUGUCACUUAUAGAUGGAUCCGCGCCGCAUUAGCUAGUUGGUAAGGUAACGGCUUACCAAGGCAACGAUGCGUAGCCGACCUGAGAGGGUGAUCGGCCCCCCUGGGACUGAGACACGGUCCAGACUCCUACGGGAGGCAGCAGUAGGGAAUCUUCCGCAAUGGGCGAAAGCCUGACGGAGCAACGCCGCGUGAGUGAUGAAGGUCUUCGGAUCGUAAAACUCUGUUAUUAGGGAAGAACAAAUGUGUAAGUAACUAUGCACGUCUUGACGGUACCUAAUCAGAAAGCCACGGCUAACUACGUG